AUUGAACGCUGGCGGCAGGCCUAACACAUGCAAGUCGAACGAGUGGCGGACGGGUGAGUAAUGUCUGGGAACCUGCCCGAUGGAGGGGGAUAACUACUGGAAACGGUAGCUAAUACCGCAUACCAUCGGAUGUGCCCAGAUGGGAUUAGCUAGUAGGUGGGGUAACGGCUCACCUAGGCGACGAUCCCUAGCUGGUCUGAGAGGAUGACCAGCGACACGGGAACCGAGACACGGCCCAGACUCCAACGGGAGGUAGGAGGGGGGAGUAUGGCGGAAUGGGCGCAAGCCUGGUGCAGCCAUGCCGCGUGUAUGAAGAAGGCCUUCGGGUUGUAGAGUACUUUCAGAGAGGAGGCGUUACUCGCAGAGGAAGCACCGGCUAACUCCGUGCCAGCAGCCGCGGUAAUAC
rnacentral:rRNA from 1 species